rnacentral:lncRNA from 1 species
CAUAAAGUAUAGUGAUGUGGAAAAUGUGAAUGAAUUUAAACCUAAAAGUGCCUAAAGACAAGAGUGCUUUGUGAGCGGGAAUGAACCCAUUUUAUACGCGACGUUAGAGCAUAAGUAAAGUACAGUAAUGUGUGUAAGAAUCAUACCCUCAGAGAUAGCCAUCUAUACUGAGAUUCGCCAAGAAUCCUCGUCGAUACGAACUUUCAUCAGCUCAACCUAGAGGGGCGAAAAACAGAAAACGUGAGUGGGCAAAAACAAAGCUUUUUGAAACCAUUUCUCUUUCCAAAAAUACCUCACCAUAAAACCCGUAUAAUUUCCUAGAAAAUAAUAAUACAUAUGUAUAAAGAAAUCAGGCGCGAAAGUAAUGAAGACCAAAGUAUGUGCCAUGUCAAAUAUCUUAAUGAUAAAUAUGUAAGCCAAGUGAUGUAAAUCAAUAUAAAAUGAUAUAUUAGCUUAAGUCACCUAACGUGACCUAUAAGGCUGAUUCUAUAGCUCAUAACCAAUUCCUGUACACGAGUCAAAAGCACCUAAUGUGGUAUGUACGACAUGAUGGGUGUAAAUAAAUACGCUCAAGUGCUAUGAUCACAUGAAGGCUAUGCGAAGUUUCACAAUUCACCUACAAGUCGGAACCACCUAAUGUGGUCUGUACGACAGGUUGGCUUUUGCCUUGGAUCCAAGGUGAGUGUGUGGUGCGGAAGGUGAACAAUCACGUGAAGGCUAGGCCCUGGCCUCUGGCGGAGCACUAACACCGGGGUGCAUGAUAAUGAGUACUAAAUGUAUCUCAACAUAACCAUACACACUGCAAUCGCUAUCAUCCAUAUGUACUCACCUGAAGCUUACCUAGGCGUCCGCAGUGUCAUACAAUAUUAUGCUUACACAUACUAAUGCAUAUACUAAAAUGAAAUGCGACUAUGAUACGCUUAUUUGAAACAGUUUCUUGGAAAAUGUAAAACAUAUAUACGUAUAUAUAGAAAACCAAAAGCCAACUCAUCUGGAGUCCACGCUACAACUCCCUAGCAUGAAUAUUAAGGUGUCCCGAAUGAUUGGUGCCUAGAACAAUUAUCAAAUCACAUCUCAGAAUUAUUAUCGAUAGAAUAUAUAACUGACGUAAAACACAUCCGUAAGGGCAUUCUAGAAUGAUUUGAGACCUAUUGACCAAAAGUCAACCGUCAAUCAGCGAUCGACGAUAAGGUCGACAACCCUACAUAACUCGAUCCGGAAGAUCUGCUCCUCGGAUUUCCGAUCAGUAACUUACAAAGAUCCACAUUAUGCUUCUAAAAUAUCAUCCUAAAAUUUCAUUAUGAUCCAAUGGUUGGAUCUCCGCCAAUUGCAAAUUCAAGUGGCGAUCAAGGUUUUAUUUUACGAACUUACAAAUCCAAUUUGGGAAGAUCCGAGAGUCAGAUUCCCGAUUCGUAAGUUCCUAUGAUCCUCAAAUAUUAUGUACUAUAACGUAUUGAGUUUUGGUGACGAUCCAACGGUCAAAUCUUCGAUUCAUAUAAUUAUCAAGUAACGUACCAUAAUCAAACUACAUUCACAAUAAUCAAAUCACAUCAUAUGGAUAUCAAAUCUAAGAUCAAUAUAUCGAUUUAACGUAAACUAGCAUUGGCGGCCCACUAGCCACGCGCCGCCUCCCCGACUCACCGAAAAAAAUUCUAUUAUUUCUAAAAAUUCUCAAACUUCAUAGAAAUAAAGAUCUCAAUGAGUGGAGCAACUUUCAUACCUGUGACUAAGGCCAAUUUGGCCGGGAAAAGCCUCAAUUUCACUCUAACCUGCGGGAAACCCUAAAGAGGGUGUGCUUCAAUUCGUCACCUUCGAUGAUUUGCCGCCCAUACAGUUGGUUGGGCUUUGUUCCUGACCUCAAGAGGAGUUUAAUAUGGGUGAUGACCAUAGUUGGAAUUUACAGGAUCGGCGGAAUUGCCGCUGUGGAGUCCAACACCCACAUGGUUGUUCACCGUGAAAUAAUGCCCAAAACAGCAUGAGUUUGGUGGAAAAUAUGAAGGUGGAGGGUCCAUAAGUUAAUCUAUAUUGGUGGAUGGCUACAAUUUGCUUGAAAAUCGACGAUUUCUAGUCAGAAAUUCACCCACAAACCGGGUCAAUUCACGAGUCAGGGAGGAGAUCCGAUUCUCCUCCCUCCCCAUUCCCUCAUUUCCCUUCUUCCUCAUUGGCCUGUUCCUCCCUCCUUUCUUUCCUUUAUUUCCUAUCUCCACCGCCCAUCUCCAUUCUUCUUCAAUCUGGGCCACACACGUGGCAUUCCAGAUUUUGUUUCAAAACGCUGGAGCAUUCUAGAAAAUAAUGAAUUUACAAUUUCGCCCUCAACUUCAUUCACUAAUAUCUCCUUCGUUAUAACUCCAAAUCAUGUCCCGUUUGCGCCCAUGCGCUCGUAGCAACGAGUACUACCCAAAUACAACAAGAAAAUAGAUAUUAAGGGACACGACAAGUCGGUUAUUUAAAUCAACGCAUUUGCCUCAAAGGGCAUUUUCAAAAUUUCUCAUUUUAAAUUAUAAAAAUUGUAAUAAUUGGGGACUGGUUGUUACAGUGUGAAUGCAUGUAGGGCAAGUUUUGAUGAAAAUAAUUUAAGGCCUAGGAUGAUUUUGAUUAGUGAGGACGCAAGAAAGUUGCAUCUUUGUUUUCC